GGAAUCUGAGGACCCCGGCUGCCAUCUCUCUCCCCUCAUCUCUCUUCCAGAAGAAAGGGAUGAGGUCUUGGAUAACCUCUCUGCCCUGGUCAGUGCCGCCAGCCAGAAAUCCAUGAAAGCUACCACAUCCAAGGACAAGAGGAGAAAGAAGCACCUGUUCUGUGAUAGGCAUUCUAGAUGCCCUGGGGGCAAAGCUCAAGGUCUACUCUUAUGAAAGGCAGUAAACUAAUCCUGUGUGUUAUAUAGUCCCUUGGCUUUCUGGGGAUAGCACAUUUCAGUCCUCUGUACUUAGUACUUAUCUAAAUGUUUCAUCUUUUGACCUAUAUUUCUUAGAAAUUUAAUGAGUGCCUAGCUUGUUUUCCUGUGCUUUUUAGCUCAAGUAAUAUAUUUAUCAAUGUUGACUUUUUCUUUCUUGAACCUACAGAUUUUUUUUUCCUGGAAGUUUUAUUUUUGAAGAGCUGGGGAUAGAACAGAGGACCUUGCACUUGCUAGGCAAGCACUAUACCACUGAGCUCCAUUCCCAAUCCUCUUUCUUAGACCUUGUUGGCAACAGGUCCACCCUGGCCCCUGGAGCCCUACCUCCACUAGUUUGUUCUGCAUGCCAGUGUGGCCAGCUCACAAGGCCAUGGCGAACUUGCGGUUUUUCUGUUCCUGCUUGUCCGUCUGAGACAUAUGUAUCCCACGGGAAUGCCUUGACCUUUUCUGGUCUGAUGGACUUAUUGUUAAGGGAGGUUUCGGUACCUGACAAUAAUAGAUGUUGAAACUAAAUUUCUCCCCCCUCCCUCCUGCUUUUGGGUAGUUUUCCACUUCUGCUGCUUGGGGUAUAAAAAAAGGUGUGUUAGCAAU
rnacentral:lncRNA from 1 species